UGGGGAAUUUUGGACAAUGGGGGAAACCCUGAUCCAGCCAUCCCGCGUGUGCGAUGAAGGCCUUCGGGUUGUAAAGCACUUUUGGCAGGAAAGAAACGUCGCGGGUUAAUACCCCGCGGAACUGACGGUACCUGCAGAAUAAGCACCGGCUAACUACGUGCCAGCAGCCGCGGUAAUACGUAGGGUGCAAGCGUUAAUCGGAAUUACUGGGCGUAAAGCGUGCGCAGGCGGUUCGGAAAGAAAGAUGUGAAAUCCCAGAGCUUAACUUUGGAACUGCAUUUUUAACUACCGGGCUAGAGUGUGUCAGAGGGAGGUGGAAUUCCGCGUGUAGCAGUGAAAUGCGUAGAUAUGCGGAGGAACACCGAUGGCGAAGGCAGCCUCCUGGGAUAACACUGACGCUCAUGCACGAAAGCGUGGGGAGCAAACAGGAUUAGAUACCCUGGUAGUCCACGCCCUAAACGAUGUCAGCUAGCUGUUGGGGUCUUCGGACCUUGGUAGCGCAGCUAACGCGUGAAGUUGACCGCCU
rnacentral:rRNA from 1 species